CUGCCAUGGGGAUGAUUUUUGUACAAGCAAAGCCAAAGAGAGGAUCUAGGUCUGAAAAAAUAUUAUGACCCUGAGCCUGGUUUCUCACCUUGCUGUUUCUGCUGUGGGACCUUGUGCCUGGCACCC
rnacentral:lncRNA from 12 species